CCUCUGGAGAACAGCAUAACUGCAGCUUGAAGAGGACCAUGGAUUGGGAUGUUUCCAAUGUUGGUUUCUGAAUCAAGUGGACCUAUAAAUUAUACCUCGGCCUGAGCUAGGCUUUCAUCACAGCACAGAAGUCUUGAUCCACAGGGCCCGCCAGCCAUCGUCCUCCAGGGUUAGGAAGGGCAGCCACGUCGCCGACUCUCAUGCUUGAGGAACCAUUUCCAAAGAUCUUUUGGUACAUUUCCAAACUUCUGUCCAUCUGGAGGCCAUCAUCCAUUGUUUCAGGCAUCCAUUGCUCCUUCCCAUCGUAGACCUUGUUUGUCGUGACGAUCUGAACCUGUUGGUGUUAAAUAAGUCAGUGUCUGUACCACUCACUUUGUUUCCGUGGUGAUUUGGUCGGGCUGAACUCAUCCAGAAACGUAGCUGAAAAGUCAAAACACAUAAUGGGCCUCCACCUAAAGCAACAGUUUAAAUCUUGAGGGGACCAGAACCCUGGCCACGCUCACACAUGUAGAACCCCAUGCCGGUUAAAAGCUGACCAGGCUCACAUGUAGAACCAUUUGCCAUGUUAAAAGCUGACCACUCACAUGAACCAUUUGCCAGGUUAAAAGCUGACCACUCACAUGAACCAUUUGCCAGGUUAAAAGCUGACCACUCACACGAACCAUUUGCCAGGUUAAAAGCUGACCACUCACACAAAGAACCAUUUGCCAGGUUAAAAGCUGACCACUCACACACCAUUUGCCAGGUUAAAAGCUGACCACUCACACAAAGAACCAUUUGCCAGGUUAAAAGCUGACCACUCAAACAAACCAUUUGCCAGGUUAAAAGCUGACCACUCACACAAACCAUUUGCCAGGUUAAUAGCUGACCACUUACACAUAGAACCAUUUGCCAGGUUAAAAGCUGACCACUCACACAGAAUCCAUUUGCCAGGUUAAAAGCUGACCACUCACCCGAACCAUUUGCCAGGUUAAAAGCUGACCACGCACACAGAAUCAUUUGCCAGGUUAAAAGCUGACCUAACAACCGAACCAUUUGCCAGGUUAAAAGCUGACCACUCACACGAACCAUUUGCCAGGUUAAAAGCUGACCACGCGCACAUGAAGAACCAUUUGCAUGUUAAAAUCUGACAUAGGAACCCCAUGCAUGGUCAAACUCUGACCAGGCGCACACAUGUAUGUAAGAAAUACAAAUUUCAGACUUCAUUAACAAGUAGUAUAGACAAACUAUUGCUACACUUAGGACAUUUGGCAUUCAAAAUAGUUCGGGUUAGGUGUCCUCCAGGAAACCUCUGCACUACACAAGGAGCAGCCGGAAAUCAAACUAGCAACCUUCCGGUUACAAGUCAACCCGCACUACCUCUGAGCCAAGCCGUACCCGUUAUCAUACUCAUCGUUAAAUAUUGUUCAGUACUGUCCGCAGUGAUGCUCAAAUUCAAAUGGUGCCGCUUAAUGAGCCCGAGGACGGGGCCAGGAUUUGAUGGAAGGGGUGAGGUAGGUGGUCUGUUGAGAAGGCCCACCCAGUGGAGGGGUGGUGGGUCUUGAACAGCAGGAUCCUCUUCAUCCCAUCUGAGCAGCAGGCCGAUGAGCCCUCUGCUGGCUCAGAUGCAAGUCUUUCUCAGGGCUGUACUGCAGAGUAAUGGGCGAGGCCAGCUGGGCCUGGAAGAUGGUCCCCUCAUAUCAGAAACCAACCUGGAAAGACCCCAACAUGGACCCAUUCUGAGCUGCGAUUGUGCUCUCCUCCAGCUGUGGAGGUAGAGAAACCGUCGCUACGGCUUCAAGAUGUAUGGAGGAGAACGUUGAAAUGUGCUCCAUGGUUCUCCGGUGCAGGAACCAGGCUGUGUUCUAGUUGCUGAGAGGAGGAGCCCUCACAUCUUGC
ensembl:lncRNA